AAAAAGAAAGUUCGAGUUUAACACAUACAUCUAAUUUCUUUGCUUGGUUAUAUGGUUCAUGGUAGCUUUGGUGACAGAAUUUGAGUACAGAAUGCCAUUUGCAAGAGUUACACAUACAAGCAAUUUUUGCACAUCUAUCCAUUACAGUUGAUGCAUUCGUUCUGUUAUUUCUUAGAAAUUGAUUUAAUUGGGCUUGUUAACUGGUUUACUUUUGCAAUUCUUUUGACAAUUAAAAUGCAAAGAGGAGGACCAUAAACCACACUAUAUGAGCCAAGAUUUGCCAUACCGAUCGGUAUCCUAUCAUUCCAGAUAUAUCAUACUAUAUUGGUACCAAACUGUUAUAUAUACAGUCUCAUACUGAACCAAUAGUCAGUCCAUCUCACUGUUUUGUAUCGUAUCACAUAUCGACACUGAUAGAAUGGUACUGGUAUGGGGUGCAGUACUGACAUGGCGAACAUAUGAGCUCUACAAAAGAUCACAGUUGCCAAUGCCUAGCUUUAAAUCAACAGAAGAAACAAAGGAAACUGCAAGUCUUGAGGAUUUGAUGCCAGCUGACAAUAAAACCAGAAACAAGGUUUAGCAUCCUGCGCCAUCUACUGCAACUGCGACGCUUGAUGCCUUUCUCAUGUAGUAUGUUUUCAAAGGAUGUUAAUGCAGCCAAUUUAAUUCCUCAAAAA